rnacentral:rRNA from 1 species
CGCCUUUUGAAGUAUGAACAUAAAAGGUCCUGCCUGCCCAAUGACUUGUUUUAAUGGCCGCGGUAUAAUGACCGUGCAAAGGUAGCGUAAUCAUUUGUCUCCUAAAUAGAGACCAGUAUGAAUGGCAAAACGAAAGCCUCACUGUCUCUCUAACCCAGUCAAUGAAAUUGAUCUUCCCGUGCAGAAGCGGGAAUAAAAAUAUAAGACGAGAAGACCCUGUGGAGCUUUAAACUUAAGUUUUAGGUUGGGGCGACCAUGAGGUAUAACACAACCCUCACGACAAUAAAUAGAAAGACACUUCAAACAUUGACCCAAUAAUUGAUCAACGAACCAAGUUACCCCAGGGAUAACAGCGCAAUCCGCUCAAAGAGUCCAUAUCGACGAGCAGGUUUACGACCUCGAUGUUGGAUCAGGACCCCCAAAUAACGCAACAGCUAUUAAAGGUUCGUUUGUUCAACGAUUAAAGUCCU